UGGGGAAUAUUGCACAAUGGGGGAAACCCUAGAUGCAGCGACGCCGCGUGAAGGAAGAAGUAUCUCGGUAUGUAAACUUCUAUCAGCAGGGAAGAUAGUGACGGUACCUGACUAAGAA
rnacentral:rRNA from 1 species